rnacentral:rRNA from 1 species
UGCCUGUAAGCGGGGAAUAACCCGUCGAAAGACGGACUAAUACCGCAUAAUACUAAAUUACUGCAUGGUAAUUUAUUUAAACAUUUAUGGCUUACAGAUGGGCAUGCGCAUGAUUAGCUAGUUGGAGAGGUAACGGCUCCCCAAGGCAACGAUCAUUAGGGGUUCUGAGAGGAAGGUCCCCCACACUGGUACUGAGACACGGACCAGACUCCUACGGGAGGCAGCAGUGAGGAAUAUUGGUCAAUGGACGAGAGUCUGAACCAGCCAAGUCGCGUGCAGGAAGAAUGUCCCUAUGGAUUGUAAACUGCUUUUGCAGGGGAAUAAAGUGCAUCACGUGUGAUGUUUUGUAUGUACUCUGCGAAUAAGGAUCGGCUAACUCCGUGCCAGCCGCAGC